rnacentral:rRNA from 1 species
GAUGAACGCUGGCGGCGUGCUUAACACAUGCAAGUCGAACGAAGCAUUUAAGACAGAUUACUUCGGUUUGAAGUCUUUUAUGACUGAGUGGCGGACGGGUGAGUAAUGCGUGGGUAACCUGCCUCAUACAGGGGGAUAGCAGCUGGAAACGGCUGGUAAUACCGCAUAAGCGCACAGUACCACAUGGUACAGUGUGAAAAACUCCGGUGGUAUGAGAUGGACCCGCGUCUGAUUAGCUUGUUGGCGGGGUAACGGCCCACCAAGGCGACGAUCAGUAGCCGACCUGAGAGGGUGACCGGCCACAUUGGGACUGAGACACGGCCCAGACUCCUACGGGAGGCAGCAGUGGGGAAUAUUGCACAAUGGAGGAAACUCUGAUGCAGCGACGCCGCGUGAGUGAAGAAGUAGUUCGCUAUGUAAAGCUCUAUCAGCAGGGAAGAUAGUGACGGUACCUGACUAAGAAGCUCCGGCUAAAUACGUG